UACGUAGGGGGCGAGCGUUAUCCGGAAUGACUGGGCGUAAAGGGAGUGUAGGCGGCUUUUUAAGUUAUGUGUGAAAGCCCACGGCUCAACCGUGGAAUUGCACAUAAAACUGGAAAGCUGGAGUGCAGGAGAGGUAAGUGGAAUUCCUAGUGUAGCGGUGGAAUGCGUAGAUAUUAGGAGGAACACCAGAGGCGAAGGCGACUUACUGGACUGUAACUGACGCUGAGGCUCGAAAGCGUGGGGAGCAAACAGG
rnacentral:rRNA from 1 species